rnacentral:piRNA from 1 species
UGCAGGAUUGUGAGUCUGAGGGUGUCCU